rnacentral:lncRNA from 1 species
AUGCAAAAGACUGCAUGUUUUUAUUCUGAGGCGGAGUCACCACUUUGCCCCCACUUCUCAAUGCCAACAGCUCCUCUUGGAAUCCCAUAUCUGAUGAGAAUUUAUGAAGCAUCUGUGCAAAGAGGCGGGAGAGGGAACCAGGAGACCUGGUUGCUGGAUCAUGAUUUUGCCAAUCCCAGAGGCAACCUGGAGUAUGCCUGGGAAGCUUUCGGUCUUGGUUGUGGGAUGGGCAAAGUGCCGUGGAGCUCCGGGGUUGAUUCCUCUCCAGACACUUGUAACACUGCUUCAGGAAGACUUUCCCAACAUCUGGAGAAUUUCUGUGUUCCCUCUGCCAGUCUGGGAUGCCUAUGUACCAUGUUGCUGGGUCUGGGAUUCAGGCUGAAGCCAAAGGCAGUUAUCCUUUAAAGUAUCCAGCUGUAAAA